rnacentral:rRNA from 1 species
UGAGUAACGCGUGGAUAAUCUACCCUUAAGAUGGGGAUAACGGCUGGAAACGGUCGCUAAUACCGAAUACGCUCCCGAUUUUAUCGUUGGGGGGAAAGAUGGCCUCUGCUUGCAAGCUAUCGCUUAAGGAUGAGUCCGCGUCCCAUUAGCUAGUUGGCGGGGUAGCGGCCCACCAAGGCAACGAUGGGUAGCCGGUCUGAGAGGAUGACCGGCCACACUGGAACUGGAACACGGUCCAG